UACGUAGGGUGCGAGCGUUGUCCGGAAUUAUUGGGCGUAAAGAGCUCGUAGGCGGUCUGUCGCGUCGGUCGUGAAACUUGGGGCUUAACCCUGAGCUUGCGGUCGAUACGGGCAUGACUGGAGUUCGGCAGGGGAGACGUGGAAUUCCGUGUGGUAGCGGUGAAAUGCGCAGAUAUCAGGAGGAACACCGGUGGCGAAGGCGGGUCUCUGGGCCGAAUACUGACGCUGAGGAGCGAAAGCGUGGGGAGCGAACAGG
rnacentral:rRNA from 1 species